CCACCUGGGGGGAGAGAGGCAGUUAUUGGGGUCGGGGGGUGCCUGCGGGGGCACCGAGCCUCAUACCCAAAGGGGGUGUCUUCAUCCCAAACCAAACGCCCUGCAGGAAAGGAUCAAUCUUUCAAUGUCCCCAUCGUUAAAUCUUGCAAAGCUCAGGGUGCAAAGCCAAAAAGAGGGGUGGGGGCUCCCCCAAAACCGGUUCCCCCCAUGCCUCAGGGAGCCCCGUGUCUGCAGCGGUGCCCAAAAAGACCCGGGUGCUGUGAGGACCUGCUGCUGUGAGGAUGGGCACCAGCACUACAGGGAAACCCUACAUGUUUCUGAGCCACAGGGAAGGGGGCACUGCUUCACGGCCUCCUUGCUCCUGGGGAGAGAGGACGGACACCCCGAGCCCCGCAUCGUGCAGCCUCCAACUCGUUUUCCAUUACACAAGACCGAUGCCAACCCGUGGCACAGUGUGCACAGAUGCACUUGCAUCAUUAGCUGCAAAAAAACUUUCCUGUCUUAUGUAACAACAACAAAAGAAAACCCUUAAACCUUCCUGGUUUUCCUCCUUUUCUCCUUUCUGUUUUUCUCCCUAUUUCCUUUUAUCUCCACUCAUUUUUUUCCCAGGACAGCUCCCUGUUGGUGUUUUUAUGUGCAGCAAGCCAUGCUGCUUCCCCAUCCCUCCCCCUCUCCUUGCAGUGGUAUGUGGAUGAAAAACAGCCAGCGCCUUUUUUUUUUUUUUUUUCCUCCAAAAACUUUGAAAACAAAAGACAAAAUCGCAGCCCGGCCCGAGCCUUUCCCUCACUUGAAUCAACACCAAGACAACAUUGAGACAUGGAAGGAUUCUGCUUCCCAAACACAGCUGUGUUUGCGAGUCCUGCGAUGCCAGGGGAUGGGAAGGGCUGGAAAAAGCGGCCUGACCCCUCCUGUCCAGGGGAGAAGCUCCCGCGGGCUCCUUCCAAGGAAUCGGAGCGGUGACAGCAGUCACGGAGAGGGGCUGCUCGGCCUGCUGUCCCCUCACGGCCAAACGACGACCGCCCAGAGGACGAAGGGCGAGAGCAAAGGUUGAAUUUUACGGGCAGGCACGGGGAUCCUCGCAUGGGUUCGCCCCCAGAACCUCGACCACCACCGAGUGCCCCCCGGGGAGAGCCCUGAGCGAAGGGGAGAGCCCCGAAGGCCUCUCCUCACUCCUCACCCUCCUUCCCCAUCAGACCUCGUCCUUUCAGAUCAGGAGCGCCAGCACGGCCUGAACAAAAGCUUCUUGACCUACAAACUCCCGGCUGCCAACAUCGUUAACAUCGCGGCUCAACCUCCUUUUUCUCCUCCUCCUCAGCGACCAAACUCGCUGCUGGCAGCGGGAAGCAGACUGGCCUGUGCCUGGCGUGUGCUUUUCGGGAUGAAAGGGGAGCCCAUUAGGAUGAGCUGUCUCGACAAGCAGGUAACGAGCACAGAACAUCCGACUUUGCCCCCAUCCUCCCUGACAGGCCAUAAAUAACCGCAUCUCGGCAAGGCCCCAAAAUCAGGGUGGAUGGGAGCUGUAUGGCCACACAGGGCUGGUGGUGGCAGCAGGAGGGGUUCGCCCCGCUAGGUGCUGUGAGGAUGUGGCACGAAAUGGUGCCUCCAGCAGCAAUUAGGGCCGGGCAGGGCCACGGGAAGCACCUCAAGGCCCGUCCACGCGUGGUGCUGAGCAUCCCUGCAGGUUUCCAGGAAUCUGCCCCAACCCUGAGGGUUUAUCACCCACACCCCUGCUCAGGGGGGGGACACAGGGCAGGGAUGUGACCUCCAGCAGCCCCCAAACCUUCACCAUCACCUUCCUCGCAUGGGGCAGCGUGGCAGCCACCAGCAGCCACCUUCCCAACCCCACAGAUCCCAGAACGACCCCAAACCCUCCACCCCCCUGCCCCACAACCCCCACGACACCCAAACCUCACACGGCACCAUCCCACCCCCCUUGCCAUGGUCCCCCCGGCCCCCACAGUGGGUGCAGCACGGCGAAGCGAGCCGGGAUGGCUUGGGGGCACCCCCAUAACCCCCCCCCUAUGGCUUUUAUCCCGGUACCUGCCCGUAGUCCAGGCCUUCCAGCCCUCUGCAGCAAUCCCUCGGCCACCACCGCGACCCCGUUCCCCGCCGCCCACCCGCGGGGCCCCGCUCGCCCCCGGGGCCGUCCCGCAGGGCCAUGACCGGGGCUGGACGGGGGGGGGGGGGGGGCGGACGGGGCUCGUUUUUUUUCCCCUUUUUUUCCUUCCCCACCAGCACCAGCAGCACACGGUGGCGGUGCUGGGAAGUGUAGUCCGCCACCAAGAGGACUACAGGGCCCAGAGGACGCCGCGGAGAUGGAGGGGGGGGGAAAGGCAAGGAGGGAGCGGGGCCAUUCCCCCCAAAAAAAGCCUUGGGGGAGCACCCACCGAGCUCGGUGCCUUCGUCUCGGGGGGUUCCCGGCUUGUGUCCGGUUGCCGAGGGGGGGUGGCCGGAGCUGGACGCUCGCUGGACUUCGCCCCGGUGAAGCAAGAAGGAAAAAAAUAAAAGGGGGGGGGGGGAGAAUGGAGAUAGGAGGGGGAUGGAGGAGAACGGCACCGCCUGCAGCCCCCCGGGGUGGGGGGGAGGUGGGGUUGGGUCCCCUAGGGUCGUGUGGGGGGGACAAUGGGGUUGGGGAGGGGGACAGGGGGCUCUGAGACCCCCGGGAUGUCCUGGAGAAGUGGGGGGGGCAGUGGGGGGCAGGGGGAGCCUCACAGCCCUUUGGGGUCAAAUAGAUGGGGGAAGUGUGGGGCUUGGCAAAGGGCAUGGGGUUUGUGCCGUGUCCCGCAGCAGGUCAGUGUUUGGGGCCAAAAGCGGGGUUUUUGGUACAGAAAUUGCUGCUGGCGUCGCUGCUUGCUCAUCCCAGGGCAAAAUUUCAGCCCGGCAGCUCUGGAUGUGUUUUAGGGCUGAUUCACCGUGCCCCGCGCCCUUCAGCAGGUGGUACUGUUUGUAAUGACUGCGAUGAUGAUUCCUGGCGUUAUUUCGUUUCUGCUCUCCCCUCCGAGACGUUUCGGGUUGGUGCAGCUGGUGGGGAUCGGUCCUGUGUGUAGGAAUUCAGGACCAGCUCCUGCACUUUGGACUCUUGCACGAGGCUGGAUCCCAUCCCGGCCGGGCCCUACGAACGCGAUCACAGCAGAAAUUGCAGCGCUGGCUGGUUUGGGGUGGGAUGCAGACGAAAGCGCUGUGGGUGGGAGCAGCGUUCCCCGAAACGGAUUAUCUCCAGCUGCUUCCGGCCUCUUCUCCCUGGCGCUGGAUAAUUUUGCUGCGUUGAGUGUGUAAUUAUCGCCUCUGCCAUCUCCCAGCGCAGGAGGAUGUUUAUUUUGCAAGUCCCACCAGCUGGGUCCUUGGGGCAGAGGGGAGGGCGAAGGGGACGCGGUGGGGAGAGCAGUGACGGCAGUGCUCAGAAAAGGGGGAAAUGUCUCCCCAGGGAGAGAGCUAGCAGGGAGGAAAGCUCUCCAAAUGGGAGAACUUGUCCCUGGCUGGCUGGGAGAGGACAAGGACACCACGGCGGGCUGGGAGGAUGAUAAAGCUUCUGGGGGGAAACACGGGGCAGGAGCUGAAAUCCCUGGGAAGGAGCUGAGACUCCACAUUCAGGAGAGAAAACGGGGGAGGAAAAGGUAAAAUUGUGGGAAAGGAGCUGAGACCUGAAACGAAGAGGAGCUGAAUAAUAAAGCUUUUGGAGGGAAACACGAGGCAGGAGCUGAAA